UCCAAGAAGAGACUAAUGGCAGCAGCAAAGUAGCUAAUACUAAAUUAGCUAAAGUAUUUGUAGUUGCCAACUCUUCUUUGGUUUUGUAUAUCAAUAAACUGUGGAAAUAUUUAUCUCUACUCAGUACGUGGAAUAAUUCUAUCAACGGGAAGACUGAGGGCAGCAGCAGGGUAGAGACUUAGGAGUACAACACUGCAGCUUCAAGUACGGGGACUAAUUCUAUCAACGGGAAGACUAAAGGCAGCAGUAAAGUGGAGAUUGUGGAGUACAACACCGCAGCUUUAAGUACGAGGACUAAUUCUAUCAACAGGAAGACUGAGGGCAGCAGCAGAGUAGAGACUUAGGAGUACAACACUGCAGCUUCAAGGCAAGAAAAGUACGGGGACUAAUUCUAUCAACGGCGAGACUGAGGGCAGCAGCAAAGUCAAGAUUGUGGAGUACAACACCGCAGCUUUAAGUACGGGGACUAAUUGUAUCAACGGUAAGACUGAGGGCAGCAGCAAAGUGGAGAUUGUGGAGUACAACACCGCAGCUUUAAGUACGGGGACUAAUUGUAUCAACGGUUAAGACUGAGGGCAGCAGCAAAGUGGAGAUUGUGGAGACAACACCACGGCUUUAAGGGUUUUUCGCUUACUGCGGGGUCAUUCUCUCAGGAAGGCAAACGGAUGACUCCGGACAGGACUUGCAGGGGGCAGCAGAUGUCAGGCUUGGAAGAGCGCCUGACGGCAAAAGAUGUCUCCGUUAAGAGGAGAGCGAAGCACAUCCGCAGCUGCUAAAUUUAGACGGGGACAAUCUGCCCACCGGUGUCGCUGCCGUCGCUUGGCAGUGUCGUGCCACAGAUGUCCCUCCCCCUCCCCCCGGUCCCUGAAUUUCCCGCCCAGGAGCCACCCAUCAAACCUGGACACAUGUCCCCUCGGCCCCUGGAGGGGUGGCUGGGUGUGCACGAUCCUGCGUUUGCACCUCCAUCAUCCCCCAGAAUUCCUGCAGGAGCCCCCCGCGCUCGGCACACAGAGAUUGCUCAGCCGUCGAGCACAUCUGCAGCGUGAUUGGAGAAGCGAAGGAAGCAUGCUGGUGCUGGUGUAAGGAAGGGGAUGUGGGGCUCCCCCCCCGACCCUUCUGCAGCGGAGGAGGAUCAUGGUGGGGGCCUAAGCAAUAUGUCCUCUCUAACCAAGUGGAACGUUCCAGUCUCUGAGGUCGGCAGAAAAAAAAAAAGGAACAAAGGCGGUCCAAGCCCCUCCCCCUCUCAUCCUUCCAUCGUGCGUGGAGGCGACGCAUCAUAACACCAAAAAGUCACAUGACCGCAUGUCGCCGAGGAACACCAGCAAUUACAAGUAAAGGACUGUCUGGGAAACGGCACAAGCCGAAAUUCGCUGUCGCUGUCCAUCAAGAAGUACCCCCACCCGCCCGCCAUGCUAUUUGAAACAAAACUCUCCCCUCCCAUUCACUCACAGUCACAAAGGUUCAAAGGUCAGGCUAAGAAUGGGAGCAAGGACACCCUACUCUGCCCCCCACCCUCCUGAACACGGACUACCCAAACAUACUACAGCCACUAACUUAUCAGCGAACACACAAACAUGCACUCCUCUCCGCCUGCUUUGAAUUCCUUCCUGUCUAUCUUCAGCAGCCCCCACCAAGACCUCAACCCCAUCAGUCUGGUGGGCACCAGUUCAAAUACUUUUAAGAUGAAUAUGACUCAAAGUAAAAGUGAAAUGACAUGUAACUUAUAAGACUCGUGGUCGAAAAUAUAGUAAGCGAAUACAACUUGUCGUAAAUUUCGGACUAUAAACCGCUUCUUUUUUCCUACGCUUUGAUCCCUGCGGCUUAUGAAACAGUGCGGGUAAUUGAUGGGUUUUUCUUCGCUCAAGGCCAUAAUGCAAAUAGACUUAGACUUAGACAAACUUUAUUGAUCCACAAGGGGAAUUGUUCCACACAGUAGCUCAGUUACACAAGAUGGUAAGGGUAAGGAUGGAAAGGACAAUGCAGGUAUAAAGCAGACUAAAAAUGUACCAUAGAAGCAAUAUAAAAUAGAUGUAAUAUUUAUAUAUUAUAUAUACAGUAUAUAAUAUAUACUGAUAUAUUAUUAUAUUAUAUUAUAUUUUUAUAUAAUAUAUACUCCAGUAUACAUCAGUACCAGAAAACUCAGGUUGUUGGUACUUUUUGCACAGUACAAAGACGCCAUCAUGCUUUUUUUACGACUUUUGUACCAGAAAACUCGCAAAAUUCAGAUUGUUGAUACUUUUUACACAGUACAAAGACGCCAUCAUGCUUAUAUUAUGGCCCUAGUACCAGAAAAUUCGCAAAAUUCAUUUUGUUGAUCCUUUUUGCACAGUACAAAGACGCCAUCAUGCUUAUAGUAUGGCUCUUGUACCAGAAAAUUAGCAAAAUUCAGGUUGUUGGUUCCUUUUGCACAGUACACAAACGCCAUCAUGCUUUUAUUAUGACUCUUGUACCAGAACAUUGGCAAAAUUUAGGUUGUUGGUACUUUUUGCACAGUACAAAAAUGCCAUCAUGCUUUUAUUACGACUCUUGUACCAGAAAAUUUGCAAAAUUCAGGUUGUUGGUACUUUUUGCACAGUACAAAGACGCCAUCAUGCUUAUAUUAUGGCACUUGUACCAGAAAAUUUGCAAAAUUCAGGUUGUUGGUACUUUUUGCACAGUACAAAGACGCCAUCAUGCUUUUAUUACGACUCUUGUACCAGAAAAUUCGCAAAAUUCAGGUUGUUGGUACUUUUUGCACAGUACCAAGACGCACAUUUAACAGUUGUCAGCAUGUCUGUGUGAAAGGGACUCCAGCAACAGCGGUGGCUGGCUUUGCAGUCGAGGUUUUCAUGCGCAGGUACAAUUAAAAUGUACAGUAAAACACUCUAAAAAAAAAAAACUGUUUUACUUGACUUCUCGUGCAAUUUUUGUCCUAAAUCCUCCCGAGAACGUUGUCGCGGUCAUGUGUAACAAGCGCGGGUGCGAUUAAAGUGCGAUAAUGUGUGAUAUCAGCAGCGUCUUUGAUAACCUUGCUGAGUGGAGUGAUCCUAACAGCUUGCUGGCGGCCGCCGCCGCCAUUCGUCCCCAU